GGGGAAGCUCCCAUCUUUGGCGAAGCUUGGAUCGUCGAUGAUGCUUCGACCUCCAGCAAAGCUUCGUUCCGUCCAAGGAGUCCCCGGCGGUAAUCCUUCGCUCCAACCAACAACCAUUUCAUCCCCUUUUCUUCAUUUCUCCAGCCAAGAAAACCACCUUCCCUCAGUCCAACUCUCUUCCCUAUUUCGAUUCCGAUCAGAUCUUAACAUUCAACUUCAGUGAUGUGAUGUGAACAUCGUUGCUUUCGAUUCCAG
rnacentral:lncRNA from 1 species